rnacentral:rRNA from 1 species
AGCGAACGUUAGCGGCAGGCCUAACACAUGCAAGUCGCACGAGAAUGGGGCUUCGGCCCUUAGUAAAGUGGCGGACGGGUGCGUAACACGUGGAUAAUCUGCCCUUCGGCGGGGGACAACAGUCCGAAAGGAUUGCUAAUACCGCAUUCGUCGGCGAGCUCUUCGGAGCUUGCCGGGAAAGAUGGCCUCUCCAUGGAAGCUAUCACCGGAGGAUGAGUCCGCGGCCCAUCAGCUAGUUGGCGGGGUAAUGGCCCACCAAGGCGAAGACGGGUAGCUGGUCUGAGAGGAUGAUCAGCCACACUGGAACUGAGACACGGUCCAGACUCCUACGGGAGGCAGCAGUGGGGAAUAUUGGGCAAUGGGCGCAAGCCUGACCCAGCUAUGCCGCGUGAGUGAUGAAGGCCUUCGGGUCGUAAAGCUCUGUGGGGAGGGAAGAACAAGCCUGUGGCUAACAUCCACGGGCCCUGACGGUACCUCCUUAGCAAGCACCGGCUAACUCCGUGCCAGCAGCCGCGGUAAUAC